rnacentral:rRNA from 1 species
UACAGAGGUCUCAAGCGUUGUUCGGAUUCAUUGGGCGUAAAGGGUGCGUAGGUGGCGUGGUAAGUCGGUGUGAAAUUUCGGAGCCUUAACUCCGAAACUGCAUUCGAUACUGCCGUGCUUGAGGACUGGAGAGGAGACUGGAAUUUACGGUGUAGCAGUGAAAUGCGUAGAGAGUCGAUAAGGAAGACCAGUGGCGAAGGCGGGUCUCUGGACAGUUCCUGACACUGAGGCACGGAAGGCCAGGGGAGCAAACGGG